rnacentral:rRNA from 1 species
UACGUAGGAGGCGAGCGUUGUCCGGAGUUACUGGGCGUAAAGGGUGCGCAGGCGGCGGUUCGCGUGGCGAGAUGAAAUCUCCUGGCUUACCUGGGAGGAUGGUCGCCAGACGGGAUCGCUUGAGGGUCGGAGAGGGGCGUGGAAUUCCGGGUGGAGCGGUGAAAUGCGCAGAUAUCAGGAGGAACACCGGUGGCGAAGGCGGGUCUCUGGGCCGAUACUGACGCUGAGGAGCGAAAGCGUGGGGAGCGAACAGG